rnacentral:rRNA from 1 species
AACGUAGGGGACAAGCGCUAUCCGGAUUUAUUGGGCGUAAAGCGCACGUAGGUGGCAAUGAAAGUUGGACGUGAAAGCUCUCGGCUUAACUGGGAGAGGUCGUUCAAUACUCCAUUGCUCGAGGUUGGAAUAGGAGAGUGGAAUUCCCGGUGUAGUGGUGGAAUGCGUAGAUAUCGGGAGGAACACCAGUGGCGAAGGCGGCUCUCUGGUUCACACCCGACAAUGAGGUGCGAAAGCGUGGGGAGCGAACGGG